GACGAACGCUGGCGGCGUGCUUAACACAUGCAAGUCGAACGAAGAGCGAUGGAAGCUUGCUUCUAUCAAUCUUAGUGGCGAACGGGUGAGUAACGCGUAAUCAACCUGCCCUUCAGAGGGGGACAACAGUUGGAAACGACUGCUAAUACCGCAUACGAUCUAAUCUCGGCAUCGAGGAUAGAUGAAAGGUGGCCUCUACAUGUAAGCUAUCACUGAAGGAGGGGAUUGCGUCUGAUUAGCUAGUUGGAGGGGUAACGGCCCACCAAGGCGAUGAUCAGUGGCCGGUCUGAGAGGAUGAACGGCCACAUUGGGACUGAGACACGGCCCAGACGCCUACGGGAGGCAGCAGUGGGGAAUCUUCCGCAAUGGACGAAAGUCUGACGGAGCAACGCCGCGUGAGUGAUGACGGCCUUCGGGUUGUAAAGCUCUGUUAAUCGGGACGAAAGGCCUUCUUGCGAAUAGUGAGAAGGAUUGACGGUACCGGAAUAGAAAGCCACGGCUAACUACGUG
rnacentral:rRNA from 1 species